rnacentral:rRNA from 1 species
CAGGAUGAACGCUGGCGGCGUGCUUAACACAUGCAAGUCGAACGAAGACAUCUGAGUGCUUGCACUUGGAUGGACUGAGUGGCGGACGGGUGAGUAACGCGUGGGUAACCUGCCUUAUACAGGGGGAUAACAGUUGGAAACGACUGCUAAUACCGCAUAAGCGCACGGUAUCGCAUGAUACAGUGUGAAAAACUCCGGUGGUAUAAGAUGGGACCCGCGUCUGAUUAGCUAGUUGGUGAGGUAACGGCUCACCAAGGCGACGAUCAGUAGCCGGCCUGAGAGGGUGAACGGCCACAUUGGGACUGAGACACGGCCCAAACUCCUACGGGAGGCAGCAGUGGGGAAUAUUGCACAAUGGGGGAAACCCUGAUGCAGCGACGCCGCGUGAGUGAAGAAGUAUUUCGGUAUGUAAAGCUCUAUCAGCAGGGAAGAUAAUGACGGUACCUGACUAAGAAGCACCGACUAAAUACGUG